CAACUACUCCCUCUGUCCCAAAUUUCUUGUCUUAGAUUUGUCUAGAUACGAAUGUAUCUAAUACUAAAAUGUGACUUGAUACAUCCGUAUCUAGAUAAAUCUAAGACAAGAAUUUUGAGACAGAGGGAGUACUUU
rnacentral:pre_miRNA from 1 species